rnacentral:rRNA from 1 species
AGUGAACGCUGGCGGUAGGCCUAACACAUGCAAGUCGAACGGCAGCACAGUAAGAGCUUGCUCUUACGGGUGGCGAGUGGCGGACGGGUGAGGAAUACAUCGGAAUCUACUUUUUCGUGGGGGAUAACGUAGGGAAACUUGCGCUAAUACCGCAUACGACCUACGGGUGAAAGCAGGGGAUCUUCGGACCUUGCGCGAUUGAAUGAGCCGAUGUCGGUUUAGCUGGUUGGCGGGGAAAAGGCCCACUAAGGCGACGAUCCGUAGCUGGUCGGGGGGAUGAUCAGCCACACUGGAACUGAGACACGGUCCAGACUCCUACGGGAGGCAGCAGUGGGGAAUAUUGGACAAUGGGCGCAAGCCUGAUCCAGCCAUACCGCGUGGGUGAAGAAGGCCUUCGGGUUGUAAAGCCCUGUUGUUGGGAAAGAAAAGCAGCAGGUUAAUACCCCGCUGUUCUGACGGUACCCAAAGAAUAAGCACCGGCUAACUUCGUG